rnacentral:rRNA from 1 species
GACGAACGCUGGCGGCGUGCCUAACACAUGCAAGUCGAGCGAGUGGAGUUCUUCGGAACAAAGCUAGCGGCGGACGGGUGAGUAACACGUGGGCAACCUGCCUCAUAGAGGGGAAUAGCCUUCCGAAAGGGAGAUUAAUACCGCAUAAGAUUGUAGCUUCGCAUGAAGUAGCAAUUAAAGGAGCAAUCCGCUAUGAGAUGGGCCCGCGGCGCAUUAGCUAGUUGGUGAGGUAACGGCUCACCAAGGCGACGAUGCGUAGCCGACCUGAGAGGGUGAUCGGCCACAUUGGGACUGAGACACGGCCCAGACUCCUACGGGAGGCAGCAGUGGGGAAUAUUGCACAAUGGGGGAAACCCUGAUGCAGCAACGCCGCGUGAGUGAUGACGGCCUUCGGGUUGUAAAGCUCUGUCUUCAGGGACGAUAAUGACGGUACCUGAGGAGGAAGCCACGGCUAACUACGUGCCAGCCGCCGCCGUAACAC